AACGAACGCUGGCGGCAGGCUUAACACAUGCAAGUCGAACGCCCCGCAAGGGGAGUGGCAGACGGGUGAGUAACGCGUGGGAACGUGCCCUUCGCUUCGGAAUAGCCCCGGGAAACUGGGAGUAAUACCGGAUACGCCGUAUUGGGAAAGAUUUAUCGGCGAAGGAUCGGCCCGCGUUGGAUUAGCUAGUUGGAGGGGUAAUGGACCCCCAAGGCUACGAUCCAUAGCUGGUCUGAGAGGAUGAUCAGCCACACUGGGACUGAGACACGGCCCAACCUCCGACGGGAGGCAGCAGUGGGGAAUCUUGGACAAUGGGCGCAAGCCUGAUCCAGCCAUGCCGCGUGAGUGAAGAAGGCCUUAGGGUUGUAAAACUCUUUCGCCGGAGAAGAUAAUGACGGUAUCCGGAGAAGAAGCCCCGGCUAACUUCGUGCCAGCCGCCGCCGUAAUAC
rnacentral:rRNA from 1 species